GUUUGGUUGUCCUGGCUCCUCGGGCAGAAAAUUUUUGAGAUUUCCCAUGUGCAUUCCCUGCUGGUUGCCCAAAGGACUAAUCGUAGCUCCUCAAAGAUGGUAAUUAUUGGUACAGCUCUCGGCCUUUCUUCUCCUAAUUUUCUUUCCUCACUCACACUAAGCAAAAACAUCAUCACCUUGACCAAUACUGUGAAAUAAACAUUUGGGAUUUUCUCACAAAGCUUUCUUUAUCUGAAUGGAUCUUCCUCAUCUAGAUCUCUAAACAUAAAGAGAAUAUGUGGUUCUCUAAGCAUUACAACACAGUGACAGAGAUGUGACUCAUCCAUCAGACUAUCUGCUGCUAUUUCUCAUAGAAGGCAAAUGCAAUGAACUGGGGAGAUACUUUUGUGAAAAUAAAUACGAUUUAUAUUUCUCUUGUUCAUUUUCAGAUUAAUAUAUUAUUUGUAUAUGUAUUAAA